UACGUAGGGGGGCAAGCGUUGUCCGGAAUCAUUGGGCGUAAAGAGCGUGUAGGCGGCCCGAUAAGUCCGCUGUGAAAGUCCAGGGCUCAACCCUGGGAUGCCGGUGGAUACUGUCGGGCUCGAGUCCGGAAGAGGAGUGUGGAAUUCCUGGUGUAGCGGUGAAAUGCGCAGAUAUCAGGAGGAACACCAAUGGCGAAGGCAGCACUCUGGGACGUGACUGACGCUGAGACGCGAAAAGCGUGGGGAGCAAACAGG
rnacentral:rRNA from 1 species